UUGAGCCGUGUGCAGUGAAAAUUGCAUGCACGGCUCUUAAGGUUUAAAUAAAUUUUUAAAGAAGAAAAUUUAACUCCUAACUAUGUACUUCCAU
rfam:Chlamydomonas reinhardtii strain CC-503 cw92 mt+ chloroplast, complete genome.